rnacentral:rRNA from 1 species
GACAGAGGGGGCAAGCGUUGUUCGGAAUUACUGGGCGUAAAGCGCACGUAGGCGGCUUUGUGAGUUAGAGGUGAAAGCCCAGGGCUCAACCCUGGAAUUGCCUUUAAGACUGCAUCGCUUGAACAUCGGAGAGGUAAGUGGAAUUCCGAGUGUAGAGGUGAAAUUCGUAGAUAUUCGGAAGAACACCAGUGGCGAAGGCGACUUACUGGACGAUUGUUGACGCUGAGGUGCGAAAGCGUGGGGAGCAAACAGG